UCCCUGGUGGCUCAGUGAUAGAGAAUCUGCCUGCCAAUGCUGGAGACACGGGUUUGAGCCCCGUUCUGGGAA
rnacentral:tRNA from 1 species